rnacentral:rRNA from 1 species
UACGGAGGGGGCUAGCGUUGUUCGGAAUUACUGGGCGUAAAGCGCACGUAGGCGGCUUUUUAAGUCAGAGGUGAAAGCCCGGGGCUCAACCCCGGAAUUGCCUUUGAGACUGGGAGGCUUGAACGUCGGAGAGGUGAGUGGAAUUCCGAGUGUAGAGGUGAAAUUCGUAGAUAUUCGGAAGAACACCAGUGGCGAAGGCGGCUCACUGGACGACUGUUGACGCUGAGGUGCGAAAGCGUGGGGAGCAAACAGG